rnacentral:lncRNA from 1 species
AGUGGAAGAGCACUUGCCUACAAUGCACAAGGUCCUGGGUUCAAUUCGACACUACCAACCAACAACAGCAAAAACUAAAGGCUUCUCAGAUAGCUGCAGAAGUACAGAAAAUGCAGAGCAUGGCGAAGCUGAGCUGUAAUUCAGAAGCCAGGUUCAAGAAAGUGCCAGCAUAGAAUCUCUGAAAACCACUAGAAGCUCCUGGGAAGAAAAUUUCGCAGCUGAGAGUCAGGCCUUCAAAAGGGCUGUUUCCCUAGAAAUUUCAAUGGGUGCAGAAAACCACUGUCACUGAUCACUCGGUGUCAGAGUGAACCAAAGGAGUUUUGCUUUCAAAAUGGAAAAGCCUUUGAAAAUGCCUUCUUCAAGCUAUGGUUUCCUUCUUAUGCCCGCAUGAGGAUGAUUCUUGAAAAGGAUGCAGCAGUUAAAGUGUAGGACAAACUCUUUCCUCAAGAAUGGAGUCAAUGUAUCAAUGAUAAGAACCCAUAAAGUUAUUGUUUAAAUUUUAA